rnacentral:lncRNA from 1 species
AUAUAGAAAGAGAGAGGGCACAUCUCCACACACGCCCCCUUUUUCUUCUUGCGCGCGUGAAAGAUAAGGGGGUGCCAAUAGUUGGCACCUCAUCUUAUCUGGGAUUCUUUCUCCCCUUUGACUCAUCUUUCCUUUUGAAUUUGAUUUAAAAGAAAAAUAUAUCAGAUAAGGAUCAGUUUUGGGUGUGGGAUGUUAUUUUUGUGUGACAAAAAUAUUGGGAAAAGAAGGGAUGC